rfam:Gossypium hirsutum cultivar TM-1 chromosome 6, whole genome shotgun sequence
UGUUAAAAAAUUCAUUAAUUUCUAGUAUUAAAAACUGGCGUGAUUGACGGAAUAAUCAAAUAGAUACACAUGGCGUGCUAGGUAUACCUCAUGUUAACGUAUAUAGACUAUUUUCAACAGUAAAUGGAUGGAGUUUUUAAGA